GCUACUGACAGCUCAGUCUGAAGAGCCUGAGACUCUUCAUCUCAGGGUCGUGGGUUUGAGUCCCACAUGGGGCA